AACUGGGGUUAAUUCCCGAUGGGUGAGGAGGCCUGGAAUGGUUCUUCACUGAAAGGGCGCUAGAGGCAUGCUCUCUAACGUCGCCCAAGGAUGGGGCCGCGGCCGAUCAGGUUGUUGGUGAGGUAACGGCUUACCAAGCCUAUAACCGGUACGGGCCGUGAGAGCGGAAGCCCGGAGACGGGCACUGAGAUAAGGGCCCAGGCCCUACGGGGCGCAGCAGUUGCGAAAACUCCGCAAUGCACGAAAGUGUGACGGGGCUACCCCGAGUGCCGUCCGCUGAGGAUGGCUUUUCUCCGCUGUAAGGAGGCGGAGGAAUAAGGAGAGGGCAAGACUGGUGUCAGCCGCCGCGGUAAUACCAGCUCUCCGAGUGGUAGGGGUGAUUAUUGGGCUUAAAGCGUCNGUAGCCGGCCUGGCAAGUCUNCCGUUAAAUCCAGCAANCUAAUUGUUGGGCUGCGGGGGAUACUGUUAGGCUUGGGGGCGGGAGAGGCCGACGGUAUUCUCGGGGUAGGGGUGAAAUCUUAUAAUCCCGAGAGGACCACCAGUGGCGAAGGCUGUCGGCUAGCACGCGCCUGACGGUGAGGGACGAAAGCUGGGGGAGCGAACCGGAUUAGAUACCCGGGUAGUCCCUGCUGUAAACGAUGCGAGCUAGGUGUUGGGGCGGCUACGAGCCGCUUCAGUGCCGCAGCGAAGGCGUUAAGCUCGCCGCCUGGGGAGUACGGCCGCAAGGCUGAAACUUAAAGGAAUUGGCGGGGGAGCACCACAAGGCGUGAAGCUUGCGGUUCAAUUGGAGUCAACGCCGGGAACCUUACCGGGGGCGACAGCAGGAUGAAGGCCAGGUUGAUGGUCUUGCUGGACGAGCUGAGAGGAGGCGCAUGGCCGUCGUCAGUUCGUGCCGUGAGGUGUCCUCUUAAGUGAGGUAACGAUCGAGACCCGCGCCCCUUGUUGCUAACAGACUCCAUCGGGGUCUGUGCACACUAGGGGGACCGCCGUCGAUAAGACGGAGGAAGGAGCGGGCCACGGCAGGUCAGUAUGCCCCGAAUCCCCCGGGCCACACGCGAGCUGCAAUGGCAGGGACAAUGGGUGUCGACUCCGAAAGGAGGAGGUAAUCUCUAAACCCUGCCUCAGUUGGGAUCGAGGGCUGAAACCCGUCCUCGUGAAUAUGGAAUGCCUAGUAAUCGCGCGUCAUCAUCGCGCGGUGAAUACGUCCCCGCUCCUUGCACACACCGCCCGUCGUUCCAUCCGAGUGGGGUUUGGGUGAGGCGUAGUCCUUGGUGGCUGCGUCGAACUCAGGUUCCGCAAGGAGGG
rnacentral:rRNA from 1 species